GCCUUUGUAGUGUAGUGGUCAGCACGCUCGACCCGUAUUUGAAAAGUCCGUGAUUCGAGUCCCGGCGAGGGCA
rnacentral:tRNA from 1 species